GGGCCAGUAGCUCCAAUUGGUAGAGCGGCGGACUCCAAAUCCGUAGGCUGUUGGUUCGAAUCCAGCCUGGCCUGCCA
rnacentral:tRNA from 1 species